GCGCCCGUAGCUCAGUGGAUAGAGCGUUUGGUUGCGGACCAAAAGGUCAGGGGUUCGAGUCCCUUCGGGCGUACCA
rnacentral:tRNA from 1 species